UCUUAGUUCUAAGUCGCUUUAGAUACAUGUUAGCUUAAGUUAAGUAACCCAAUAAAAAAAAAAAAAAAGGUACCUAUGUAUGUAAUUCAAUAAAUAAUAGAUUAAAGUUCAAACGUGCCUUUGAAUUUUGUUUAAAAAUUGCCACGAAUUUUCUGGACAACCUAAUAUUUCUGAUAAUUUGUAAUAAAUAAAAACACUGUGAAAUCGCGGUGCCGCGGAAAUCGUAAUCGUGCCGUUUCGUGGGCAUCUCUGAUGUGUCGUGUGGGUGAGGGUCGACCGGGGCUCGAAGCAACGUGUGACGGGUAGUGGCAGUUGCGCGUGGUGAGCACGAUAGCGAGCUCAUAAGCUCAGUAGUAGGCUAGCGCGCCUACCGUGAGGGUGGCUGCAUGGCAUGCAGCCUAGCAGCUCGCCUUACUUUCGUGUUCUCCUCUAUUACCAUCGUUUCCAUUCACUUUUUUCUUUAAUCCUAACUGUUCUCGUCAGUGCCACUUCGACUUACGACGGGCAAAGUGUUUUAUCAAAUUGGAAACGAAACAUAUCGUAACUGGUGCGUGUGUGUGUGCGUGUGUGAGUGUUCGAGGGAAUUGACACAUAUCAUCGGUAACAACACGAGGAUCAGCGUGGGAUACAAAAGUUGCUGCUUUGAUCGGUCUUCCUUCGUAAAGGGAUUCAUUAAUACGAGAUCUUUGAGACGAGGUUCAUUGUGUGAUGCAGAACUUGCUGUUUUUAUCAGAAUUUUGGGUGAAGCAGUUAUGAUACAGCGAUGAGCCUGCAGGCCCAGGCUCAAGCGCAGCGCCCUGCCAGGUACUCCCCUCAGGAGACCGUCAAGAUGCGAUUCGAGACAGUUGAAGUGGUAGAAACGCUGCGAUGUGCAACGAUAUAGUCGAAUUACCUGGCCUCUGUUGUUAUCUUCGAAACCGUUUCACAAAAGGGAUUCUGGGAUUUAUUUUCUAAUAAAGAAA